CCUACGGGAGGCAGCAGGAGGGAAUAUUGCGCAAUGGGGGAAACCCGGAAGCAGCAACGCCGCGUGGAGGAUGAAGGUUUUCGGAUUGUAAACUCCUUUUGUUAGAGAAGAGAAUGACGGUAUCUAACGAAUAAGCACCGGCCAACUCCGUGCCAGCCGCCGCGGUAAUACGGAGGGUGCAAGCGUUACUCGGAAUCACUGGGCGUAAAGAGCGCGUAGGCGGGAUAGCAAGUCAGAUGUGAAAUCCUAUGGCUUAACCCUAGAACUGCAUUUGAAACUGUUAUUCUAGAGUAUGGGAGAGGUAGGUGGAAUUCUUGGUGUAGUGGUGACAUCCGUAGAGAUCAAGAGGAAUACUCAUUGCGAAGGCGGCCUGCUAGAACAUAACUGACGCUGAUGCGCGAAAGCGUGGGGAGCAAACAGGAUUAGAUACCCGGGUAGUC
rnacentral:rRNA from 1 species